GCCUGGGGCUGGGCUCAGUGGGAGAGCGCUGGCCUGGAAUGUGGGAGGCCCAGGCUUGGACCCUCAGCUCAGACAAAAAUCAACAGCAAUCAACGUACAGUGUCCGGCUGCAGCUGAGGGUGCUUGAUCAACAGAGAGCUCCAACGCUCUGGUCAGCCCAUCCAUAUGCCUUGAUCCCAGGAGUCCUCACCACCAUCCCCUCAGCUUCAGCUCUCAGGCUGCUGACCAAGAGCCAGGGUGUCACCCUGCUCCUGUGUCCGGAUCUAGUCACCUGGGGCUACUUCUCUUUUCUCAUGUGGACUGUUUCCUUUGCCACCUGGACCUGUGCCCUUGGGAAUCUUGCCUCCCUCCGGUGUGUCCGGUCCCUGGAUUCAGCUGUGAACUCCUGUCCUUCCUCCUCAGCCUCCUCGGAGCCAGUCCACCCGUGGACCAUGCACUGGCCUUCCAUUCUCCACCAUUGGUCCUGAAGGUCCCUGCCGUGGGGCCCCAGGGGUGAGCAGAACAGGUGCUGGUUUGACAUUGUGCCCGCCAGGGAAGCAGGACCCCUGUUCCAGAAGCCUCACUGUCCCCUGGUCCUGCCUGGGCCGGAUCCUGCACCCAUCAGCUCCAUUUUGGAAUCGAUUGCUGUGUGGUGUCCCUGAUCUGAUUGGGUGGGCCACUCUGUGCGUUGUGGCCUGUGGUUCCUCUCCUCUGUCACCCGAUCACUGGCUGGAUGCUGCUUUGGGACCCUCUGUCCUUUUCUGUACAGGCCUUGACCUUCUCCAGAUCCCUGGGGCUGCGCUGGGACUCGCCCGUGGAGGCCCGAAAAUCUGGGCAGGGGACUUUCUCUCCACACACACCUCUGACCGGAGGGUCUGUUGGACCAUCAGCCGCCCUGGUCCUGGGCUUCCUGUCCAGCACCGACGUCGCCCCAUGUUAAUGCCUGGGAAUCGUGCUGGAGCAACACGUCACUUUGAGGACGCGCCUAGCAACCCUGGGGCUCUUCCUGAGUGACAGGAGGUGGGAGGCACUGGCUUUAUUUGGAGGGGGUCUGACGCAGCCCGGACCCCGGAUUCCUAAAAACCUCACCCAUGAGACCAGAGCUGGGCCUUCCUGGGGUCAUCUACUGCCCGGGAGGUCGUUCUUCCGAUGUCCUUGUCACGUCUUCCCUUCUUCUCUGACCCAGGGAUGGGCUGGGGGAGGGCGGCGUGGCCCCACUCAGCUGAUGCGGAUGACAGCAGGCAGCAGGCUGCAGGCCCGGCCAGGCUCCCCUGGGCUCUGGACAUCCUCCGUCAGUGGGAACUCUCGGCCUCCAUUCCAGGGGGGACGGGGACUGCAGUCACCAGCUCAGUGGCCACAUAAUCAAAUCCUAGGACCGUGUCCUCCUUGUAGCCAGGAUUUCAUGUCCAGCCCAGCAGCUGCAGGAUGACCUCUCCUGGGGGAGACUGCAGAGGCCCCUGUCAUCUGGCAAGGUCCAUCAGGGUUUUGAUGGGGACAAGGGGUGAAUUAAACGGGGGUUCGAGGUGCACCUAAAUUCCUGAGCCUCCCACCUUU